rnacentral:tRNA from 1 species
GCCUUCGUGGUGUAGCGGUUAGAACACUCGGUGUGUAUUCGAAAGAUCUAGGUUCGAGUCCCGGCGAAGGCA